rnacentral:ncRNA from 2 species
CCAAUAGCGUAUAUUAAAGUUGUUGCAGUUAAAAAGCUCGUAGUUGAAUUUCGGGAUUAGUACGUUGGUCGUGCCUUAGGUACGUACUGGUGUUACUGGUUCCUACCUUCUGACGAACCAUCAUGUCAUUAAUUUGGUGUGGCGGGGAAUCAGGACUGUUACUUUGAAAAAAUUAGAGUGUUUAAAGCAGGCUCGCGCUUGAAUACAUUAGCAUGGAAUAAUGAAAUAGGACGUUGACCCUAUUUUGUUGGUUUCUAGGAUUGACGUAAUGAUUAAUAGGGAUAGUUGGGGGCAUUAGUAUUCAAUUGUCAGAGGUGAAAUUCUUGGAUUUAUUGAAGACUAACUACUGCGAAAGCAUUUGCCAAGGAUGUUUUCAUUAAUCAAGAACGAAAGUUAGGGGAUCGAAGACGAUCAGAUACCGUCGUAGUCUUAACCAUAAACUAUGCCGACUAGGGAUCGGAUGAUGUUAAUUUUUUAAUGACUCAUUCGGCGCCUUACG